UACGUAGGGGGCAAGCGUUGUCCGGAAUUAUUGGGCGUAAAGCGCGCGCAGGCGGUCAUUUAAGUCUGGUGUUUAAUCCCGGGGCUCAACCCCGGAUCGCACUGGAAACUGGGUGACUUGAGUGCAGAAGAGGAGAGUGGAAUUCCACGUGUAGCGGUGAAAUGCGUAGAUAUGUGGAGGAACACCAGUGGCGAAGGCGACUCUCUGGGCUGUAACUGACGCUGGAGG
rnacentral:rRNA from 1 species